rnacentral:rRNA from 1 species
GACGAACGCUGGCGGCGUGCUUAACACAUGCAAGUCGAACGGAAAGGCCCUGCUUUUGUGGGGUGCUCGAGUGGCGAACGGGUGAGUAACACGUGAGUAACCUGCCCUUGACUUUGGGAUAACUUCAGGAAACUGGGGCUAAUACCGGAUAGGAGCUCCUGCUGCAUGGUGGGGGUUGGAAAGUUUCGGCGGUUGGGGAUGGACUCGCGGCUUAUCAGCUUGUUGGUGGGGUAGUGGCUUACCAAGGCUUUGACGGGUAGCCGGCCUGAGAGGGUGACCGGCCACAUUGGGACUGCGAUACGGCCCAGACUCCUACGGGAGGCAGCAGUGGGGAAUAUUGCACAAUGGGCGGAAGCCUGAUGCAGCAACGCCGCGUUCGGGAUGACGGCCUUCGGGUUGUAAACCGCUUUCGCCUGUGACGAAGCGGGAGUGACGGUAAUGGGUAAAGAAGCACCGGCUAACUACGUG